GCUAAGGUAGUAUAACCUAUUACAUAAGACUUAGGACCUUAAAAUAAGAGCUUCUCUUCCAUAGCA
rnacentral:tRNA from 1 species